ACCUACAGGUAAACAACUAGUCCACCUACAGGUAAACAACUAGUCCACCUACAGGUAAACAACUAGUCCACCUACAGGUAAUCAUGUCAACAACUAGUCCACCUACAGGUGAACAACACACCCCUGACAGGGCAUUCAGCAUUCACCUGUUGACACACUGAUGUCAACAUCAGCACAGUUGGAGAAACUGGAGAGAACAUGGCACAUCCACCAGGCAUGUUCAGGCAUAUUUAACAAGACACUCCAUCCACAGAUAACUUUACACAACACAUAACCACUAAUAACCCGUUCUGGCUUCAUGUACAGGGUAGAGGACAGUGAGGCAAUGGUAGUGAGAGAGAGAGAGAAGGAAAAGAGAGUGUGUGUAGCGUCCAGGCUAAAGUGCAUGUAUCAGAUGAGUCUCUCCUCCUUGGGCAGGGGCAGGCCUGGUCUCUCAGCCCCCCGUGGUCCGGUCUGUUUGCUCUCCUCCGCACUGGGCCGAUACAUUCCCUCCAUCCUUCUCUUCUUCCUGAUCACACAGCCCAUCAGGACCAGGGCCAGGCACAGCAGUAGGGCCAGGCCUGGGACUAACACAGACCACAACCCCCACGACGGCCUUGGUAACGACAACACCAUUUCCAUGACGACGGGCCCUGAGUCAGAGAGAGAGGAGGAGGAUGACAGAGAGAAGCAGGUACACAGGCAGACAGAUACACAGACCGUAGGCAGACAGAUACACAGACCGUAGGCAGACAGAUACAUAGACCGUAGGCAGACAGAUACACAGACCGUAGGUAGACAGAGACACAGACCGUAGGUAGACAGAUGUCUCACUCACCUGAGGGUUAGAGGAGACACUGCUGGUCUCUGCUCUCACAUCUGGACCAAUGGGGACACAGCAGCCAGACUGCCAGUGAGGGGUGCCUGUCUCUAGAGAGAGAGUGUAGGAGAGCAGCCAUGAGCCAGGCCGGUGAAUUCAGCCCCUUUGAGGCAGUGUGUCUGUCCAAGUCUACGGAACACAUCAGCAUAGAAACUAUGGCUGUGUUCGAUCCAAACCGCAAUGUAUCAUGGGUCAAUUCUGACCGACUGACUGAUCUACAAAUAAUAUUGAGUAGUUAUUUGUGAUCCAAGGUGAUUUGUAGAUUGGUCAGUCUCGACAGUCGGCUGCAAUGUCAAAAGUGUCCAGAGACAGUCUGAAACAACGUCUCUAAACCGGGUCCAGAUACAGUCUGAAACAACGUCUCUAAACCGGGUCCAGAUACAGUCUAAAACAGUGUCUCUAAACCUGGUCCAGAGACAGUCUAAAACAGUGUCUCUAAACCUGGUCCAGAUACAGUCUGAAACAGUGUCUCUAAACCAGGUCCAGAGACAGUCUAAAACAGUGUCUCUAAACCAGGUCCAGAAAGUGUCUCUAAACCAGGUACAGUCUAAAACAGUGUCUCUAAACCUGGUCCAGAUACAGUCUAAAACAGUGUCUCUAAACCAGGUCCAGAUACAGUCUGAAACAGUGUCUCUAAACUGGGUCCAGAGACUAGAGGUCGGCCCAUUAAUUAGGGCUGUAAUCAACAUUUUUAGACACCCAUUACAUUGCUCUCCACGAGGAGGCUGCAUGGCAGGCUGACCACCUGUUACGCGAGGGCAGCUAGGAGCCAAGGUAAUGUUAACAUAAAUCACUAGUUAACUACACAUGGUUGAUGAUAUUACUAGUUUAUCUAGCUUGUCCUGCGUUGCAUAUAAUCAAUGUGGUGCCUGUUCAUUUAUCAUCGAAUCACAGCCUACUUCACCAAACGGGUGAUAAUUUAUUAACAAGAGCAUUUGCGAAAAAAAGUAUACCUAAAUAUACCUAACAAUAAACAUCAAUGCCUUUCUUAAAAUCAAUACACAAGUAUAUAUUUUUAAACCUGCAUAUUUAGUUAAUAUUGCCUGCUAACAUUAAUUUAUUUUAACUAGGGAAAUUGUGUCACUUAUCCUGCGUUCUGUGUAGGCAGUCAGGGUAUAUGCAGCAGUUUGGGCCGCCUGGCUCGUUGCGAACUGUGUGAAGACCAUUUAGUCCUAACAAAGACUGUAAUUAAUUUGCCAGAAUUGUACAUAAUUAUGACAUAACAUUGAAGGUUGUAACAGCAUUAUUUACACUUAGGGAUGCCGCUGUUCGAUAAAAUGCAGAACGGUUCCGUAUUUCACUGAAAGAAUAAACGUUCUGUUUUCGAAAUGAUAGUGUCCGGAUUUGACCAUAUUAAUGACUUAAGGCUCGCAUUUCUGUGUGUUUAUUAUAUUAUAAAGUCUAUGAUUUGAUAGAGCAGUCUGACUGAGCGGUGGUAGGCACCAGCAGGCUCGUAAGCAUUAAUUCUAACAGCACUUUCCUGCAUUUGAAAGCAGCUCGUCGCUGUGCAUUGCACUGUUUAUGACUUCAAGCCUAUCAACUCCCCAUUAUUUAUUUGAGAUCAAAUUGAUUUUAUUUAUGUAUUAUAUU
ensembl:lncRNA